GGCAUAAACGAGGAAUUCCUUGUAAGCG
rnacentral:misc_RNA from 1 species